AUUGAACGCUGGCGGCAGGCCUAACACAUGCAAGUCGAGCGAGCGGCGGACGGGUGAGUAAUGUCUGGGAAACUGCCUGAUGGAGAGGGAUAACUACUGGAAACGGUAGCUAAUACCGCAUACCAGCAGACGUGCCCAGAUGGGGUUGGCUAGUCGGUGGGGUAACGGCUCACCUAGGCAACGAUCCCUAGCUGGUCUGAGAGGAUGACCAGCCACGCUGGAACUGAGACACGGUCCAGACUCCUCCGGGAGGCAGCAGUGGGGAAUAUUGGACAAUGGGCGCAAGCCUGAGGCAGCCAUGCCGCGUGUGGGAAGAAGGCCUUCGGAUUGUAAAGCACUUUCAGCGGGGAGGCGUUACCCGCAGAAGAAGCACCGGCUAACUCCGUGCCAGCAGCCGCGGUAAUAC
rnacentral:rRNA from 1 species